UGCAGUCGAACGAUGCUUUCGGGCAUAGUGGCGCACGGGUGCGUAACGCGUGGGAAUCUGCCCUUGGGUUCGGAAUAACAGUUGGAAACGACUGCUAAUACCGGAUGAUGACGUAAGUCCAAAGAUUUAUCGCCUGAGGAUGAGCCCGCGUAAGAUUAGGUAGUUGGUGGGGUAAAGGCCUACCAAGCCGACGAUCUUUAGCUGGUCUGAGAGGAUGAUCAGCCACACUGGGACUGAGACACGGCCCAGACUCCUACGGGAGGCAGCAGUGGGGAAUAUUGGACAAUGGGCGAAAGCCUGAUCCAGCAAUGCCGCGUGAGUGAUGAAGGCCUUAGGGUUGUAAAGCUCUUUUACCCGGGAUGAUAAUGACAGUACCGGGAGAAUAAGCCCCGGCUAACUCCGUGCCAGCAGCCGCGGUAAUACGGAGGGGGCUAGCGUUGUUCGGAAUUACUGGGCGUAAAGCGCACGUAGGCGGCUUUGUAAGUUAGGGGUGAAAGCCUGGAGCUCAACUCCAGAAUUGCCUUUAAGACUGCAUCGCUUGAAUCCAGGAGAGGUGAGUGGAAUUCCGAGUGUAGAGGUGAAAUUCGUAGAUAUUCGGAAGA
rnacentral:rRNA from 1 species